GAGGCCUAACACAUGCAAGCCGAGCGGUAUAGUUUCUUCGGAAACUAGAGAGCGGCGUACGGGUGCGUAACACGUGUGCAACUUACCUUUAUCUGGGGAAUAGCCUUUCGAAAGGGAGAUUAAUACCCCAUAAUAUAUUAGAUGGCAUCAUUUGAUAUUGAAAACUCCGGUGGAUAGAGAUGGGCACGCGCAAGAUUAGAUAGUUGGUGAGGUAACGGCUCACCAAGUCAAUGAUCUUUAGGGGUCCUGAGAGGGAGAUCCCCCACACUGGUACUGAGACACGGACCAGACUCCUACGGGAGGCAGCAGUGAGGAAUAUUGGACAAUGGGUGAAAGCCUGAUCCAGCCAUCCCGCGUGAAGGAUGACGGUCCUAUGGAUUGUAAACUUCUUUUGUAUAGGGAUAAACCUAGAUACGUGUAUCUAGCUGAAGGUACUAUACGAAUAAGCACCGGCUAACUCCGUGCCAGCAGCCGCGGUAAUACGGAGGGUGCAAGCGUUAUCCGGAUUUAUUGGGUUUAAAGGGUCCGUAGGCGGACCGAUAAGUCAGUGGUGAAAUCUCAUAGCUUAACUAUGAAACUGCCAUUGAUACUGUCGGUCUUGAGUAAAUUAGAGGUAGCUGGAAUAAGUAGUGUAGCGGUGAAAUGCAUAGAUAUUACUUAGAACACCAAUUGCGAAGGCAGGUUACCAUGAUUUAACUGACGCUGAGGGACGAAAGCGUGGGUAGCGAACAGGAUUAGAUACCCUGGUAGUCCACGCCGUAAACGAUGCUAACUCGUUUUU
rnacentral:rRNA from 1 species